rnacentral:rRNA from 1 species
CCUACGGGUGGCUGCAGUGAGGAAUAUUGGUCAAUGGGAGAGAUCCUGAACCAGCCAAGCCGCGUGAGGGAAGACGGCCCUAUGGGUUGUAAACCUCUUUUGUCGGAGAACAAAACCCGGGACGUGUCCCGGACUGCGUGUAUCCGUAGAAGAAGCAUCGGCUAACUCCGUGCCAGCAGCCGCGGUAAUACGGAGGAUGCGAGCGUUAUCCGGAUGUAUUGGGUUUAAAGGGUGCGUGGGCGGUCCGUUUAGUCUGCGGUAAAAUUGCGGGGCUCAACCCCGUCGAGCCGUUGAAACUGGCAGACUUGAGUAGGCGAGAGGUACGCGGAAUGCGCGGUGUAGCGGUGAAAUGCAUAGAGAUCGCGCAGAACUCCGAUUGCGAAGGCAGCGUACCGGAGCCAGACUGACGCUGAGGCACGAAAGCGUGGGGAUCGAACAGGAUUAGAUACCCUUGUAGUC